CAAAUCAUUGCAAGUAUCUUCAUGCAUAUUACUAAAUUGUUCUUUAUCAACCUUGUACUCUAAUUUUAUUAGCAAGAUUUCCAACACCAGCUCACUGCAUGAUCACUGGCCCUAAGAAAUUGAACUUCAACUACUUCAAGACCAUGUUGUUUCACCCAUUUUAUAUCCACAUCACUCUUCUGAAUUUCUGUAGGAGAAAGAUCCUUGGAGUGGAUCAGGUGGCCAGGAUGAACUUUGGAAAGAAUGUCAUCACUUUGAAAUAUUUCACCAUUUCUGGCUUGCAAGAGGGCUAUUAUCUAUUUUGCUGUUGACACAAAAAGGGAUAUUACCAUGUGACUGAGCAAGAGGCUUCAGCAGUUUCUCCAAGUUCCAUCAAGCCACAAACAUACUGAGGUUUGCUUUUCCUUUAAAAAUAAGACCACUGCCCCAAACCAGGAGCAGAAUGUCUAUACAUGUGGGAGAUCCUACUUGGACAGUUUCUGUCAUUUCCUUUAAAAUGAUGGUUCCAUUGUGCCCCAUUGUAGUGGAAUUUGAGGGUAGCAUUACUCUCUGACUUUAGGUUUUUUUAUGAGAAGCAGAUUAGACUAACUACACUUGAGCCUUGAACCAGCUUGGGGUUAAUCUGCAUAUAAAUUAAAAUUGGCUCUCUGCAUCCAUAGUUCCUGCAGAACAUGUACUUCAGCCAACCCUGGUUUAUGUAGUGCUAUAGUAUUUGCUAUUGAAAAAUGCCUGCCUGUAAGUGGAUCCAACAGUUCAAACCUGCAUUGUUCAAGGAUCAACCAUAUAUAAUUCUUCUUUUAAUAUAGGCAAUGUCAGGCUCAAUCUGAAUAUUUAUAGAUAUAGCAUGAAUUUCCCAAACCAUCUUCUGAGUUAGAAGCACAACUGUGAGUAUGUCUGUAUCCCUUUGUUUAGUGAUCUCAUUUAUGAGAUUAUGCCAUGAGUGGGACAUCUUUGGGGUUUUAAAGGUGAUGCCUUGGAGGUUUUGGAACCAGGAAAUUGACAGUGAUUAGCAUUUGAACUGUCACUUCCUCCUUUGCUAUGUUACCAGUAUAGAUGGCACCAUAG
rnacentral:lncRNA from 1 species